UCUGCUAAGGAAGGGUUUGAAGGCUGCAAAAAAUUGGAAGGAGGCAGAGGGAAGAAUGUUAAUCUAGAAGCUUUUGCAUAGCAAGCAGAAACUUCUAGAUUCAUUAGUAUUUAGAAUGUAUGCUUACCUGGUGCACCUUGUGGGUAACCAUAGAGAUUAUGGAUAGAAUAACGGGAAAGGAGAGAGGGAGAUGAUAGGGGACUACACUCAGAGGUGGUGAGAAAGACAGAAAAGGAGAGAUUUAAAGACGUGUAGGUGAGGAACUGAGUAGAUGGGCGAUAAUGCAUUAAUCAAGUUAAAGAACAACAGUCAAAAAGCCAAAACAGCAGAAAGUACAAGGAACAUCUGGUUUACUUGCCUCACUAGUCAUCGUGGUUGUCACAUUUGGACUGCACAGGAAGCAUUAUAGAGAGAUUAUAGAACCCGGCUGGUUCUUGGAUCCAACUGACUGUGUGUCUGUGUGUCUGGGAUUCCUUUUGGAUCCUGCUAUGCCAAAACUGGAUCAAAACGAACGCCAAGU
rnacentral:lncRNA from 1 species